UUCUCCCUGCCAGGUCCUGUGGCAGCUCAAGGGUCCUCCCGGGUGCUGCACCCUCGGCGGGGAUCCAGGUGUGCUCUCCUCUCCUUGAGCCAGAGAAUCAAGAGCUCACUGUGCAGACGAAGUGGGGGACCUGGGUCACUGGAGGGUGGCUGAGGGCUCCCCACUCAGCUGCGCAGGGGUCCCUCAGGGCAGGGCCUGAGGAUGUUGCCUCCUCGGUACCCAUCUGCAAGUGAUUCGCUAGGAAAUGGGUCACAAGUUUCUGCUUUCCGGUCCUUCAACCUGGAAGGUUCUGGGUCCCCCCCAGCACCCCCAAGUGCGAUUGGGUCCCCAGGGCCCAUGCUGAAGGAGCAGAGGAGAGCAGCAGGGAUCAGAGAGGCAGGGACCAGGCCUUGCACACCAGACAGCUGGCCCCAUCUCCCCCGGAGUGCUGGGUCCCCCACCGGGACACUGGGGACCCCCUAUGUGUCCAGAGCAAGGUGGACAGCCCAGCAGAAGACCAGGGGGCACUGGACCUUUGACCCCCAGUCUGCAGCUAAUCCAUUGACUGAGAGCUCUGAGGGAAUCAGCGUCCUCAGACCGUGCAGCACCCGCUGGGAAGGUCGGGCGAUGGAAGCAGAGUCCUAGGCAUUUCCUCACCCCUGAAGCUCCCAGCAAGAGGAACCAGUUCUACUUAGCGCCCGAGGGACGAUGCCGGCUCUGGCAGCUUUGGACGCAUGGGGCUCCCAGCACCAUCCUCCCCCCCGAAGGUUAGGAGACCGAGCCCCGACCCCAAGGGUGACACUGAGCCCGUGGGACUUGGUCCCUCCUGCACCUCCAGGACCCCAGCUCUGGCUUCCUAAGAAAGUUCACACCACACCAG
rnacentral:lncRNA from 1 species